rnacentral:tRNA from 1 species
GGAUAGGUGGCCGAGUGGUCGAAGGCGCUCCCCUGCUAAGGGAGUAAACGUUUUAUAGCGUUUCGAGGGUUCGAAUCCCUUCCUGUCCGCCA